UACGUAGGUGGCAAGCGUUGUCCGGAUUUAUUGGGUUUAAAGGGUGCGUAGGUGGCCCUGUAAGUCAGUGGUGAAAUAUCUCAGCUUAACUGAGAGGGUGCCAUUGAUACUGCAGGGCUUGAGUACAGAUGAGGUAGGCGGAAUUGACGGUGUAGCGGUGAAAUGCGCAGAUAUCGGGAGGAACACCUAUGGCGAAGGCAGCUCGCUGGGACGUUACUGACGCUGAGACGCGAAAGCGUGGGGAGCAAACAGG
rnacentral:rRNA from 1 species